UGGGGAUAUAACAUCACUAGCAGCAGGGUAAAGGCAUUAGCUAGUGGGGCAUUUAACCUCACUAGCAUCAGGGUAAAGGCAUUAGCUAGUGGGGCAUUUAACAUCACUAGCAGCAGGGUAAAGGCAUUAACUAGCGGGGCAUUUAACCUCACUAGCAUCAGGGUAAAGGCAUUAGCUAGUGGGGCAUUUAACAUCACUAGCAGCAGGGUAAAGGCAUUAACUAGCGGGGCAUUUAACCUCACUAGCAGCAGGGUAAAGGCAUUAACUAGCGGGACAUUUAACCUCACUAGCAGCAGGGUAAAGGCAUUAACUAGCGGGGCAUUUAACCUCACUAGCAGCAGGGUAAAGGCAUUAGCUAGUGGGGCAUUUAACCUCACUAGCAGCAGGGUAAAGGCAUUAGCUAGUGGGGCAUUUAACAUCACUAGCAGCAGGGUAAAGGCAUUAACUAGCGGGGCAUUUAACCUCACUAGCAGCAGGGUAAAGGCAUUAACUAGCGGGGCAUUUAGCCUCACUAGCAGCAGGGUAAAGGCAUUAGCUAGUGGGGCAUUUAACCUCACUAGCAGCAGGGUAAAGGCAUUAACUAGCGGGGCAUUUAACCUCACUAGCAGCAGGGUAAAGGCAUUAGCUAGUGGGGCAUUUAACCUCACUAGCAGCAGGGUAAAGGCAUUAACUAGCGGGGCAUUUAACCUCACUAGCAUCAGGGUAAAGGCUGCCUACAUCAACAUGUUCUCACAUUAGCAUUAACAAGUAAUUUUGCUCACUGGAGACAAUGGGCUAGAAGCUAAUGACAUCUAAUGAGAAGAUCAUGAUCAUGAUGAUGAUGAUGAUGAUGAUGAUGAGGUUGGUGCGUGAUAGAUGGGCUGAGUUUCUUUCCCAUCUUUACAUCACCUGUGUAUUACCAAGGCCAUUGAAAGGAUGUUCAUUCCAGAGCAUGUUAGCCUGUGCUCUCAGUGUGUGUGUGUGACUGUGAGGCCGUUUAUAAUGUGUUUGGCCUUGCUAGCGCAAGUCUGCUAGUGUCUGUUGAAAGUACACACUUCCAGAUGUCCAACGCGUGUUGAAGAGAUGAGAGCUGGAGGUGAUGAAACUGUGUGUGUGUGUGUGUGUGUGUGUGUGUGUGUGUGUGUGUGUGUCUCUGUG
rnacentral:lncRNA from 1 species